CGGGGGCUAUCUGCAGUCGAGCGGAAGAAGGGAGCUUGCUCCCGGAUGUUAGCGGCGGACGGGUGAGUAACACGUGGGUAACCUGCCUGUAAGACUGGGAUAACUCCGGGAAACCGGAGCUAAUACCGGAUAGUUCCUUGAACCGCAUGGUUCAAGGAUGAAAGACGGUUUCGGCUGUCACUUACAGAUGGACCCGCGGCGCAUUAGCUAGUUGGUGAGGUAACGGCUCACCAAGGCGACGAUGCGUAGCCGACCUGAGAGGGUGAUCGGCCACACUGGGACUGAGACACGGCCCAGACUCCUACGGGAGGCAGCAGUAGGGAAUCUUCCGCAAUGGACGAAAGUCUGACGGAGCAACGCCGCGUGAGUGAUGAAGGUUUUCGGAUCGUAAAGCUCUGUUGUUAGGGAAGAACAAGUGCAAGAGUAACUGCUUGCACCUUGACGGUACCUAACCAGAAAGCCACGGCUAACUACGUGCCAGCAGCCGCGGUAAUACGUAGGUGGCAAGCGUUGUCCGGAAUUAUUGGGCGUAAAGGGCUCGCAGGCGGUUUCUUAAGUCUGAUGUGAAAGCCCCCGGCUCAACCGGGGAGGGUCAUUGGAAACUGGGAAACUUGAGUGCAGAAGAGGAGAGUGGAAUUCCACGUGUAGCGGUGAAAUGCGUAGAGAUGUGGAGGAACACCAGUGGCGAAGGCGACUCUCUGGUCUGUAACUGACGCUGAGGAGCGAAAGCGUGGGGAGCGAACAGGAUUAGAUACCCUGGUAGUCCACGCCGUAAACGAUGAGUGCUAAGUGUUAGGGGGUUUCCGCCCCUUAGUGCUGCAGCUAACGCAUUAAGCACUCCGCCUGGGGAGUACGGUCGCAAGACUGAAACUCAAAGGAAUUGACGGGGGCCCGCACAAGCGGUGGAGCAUGUGGUUUAAUUCGAAGCAACGCGCAGACCUUACCAGGUCUUGACAUCCUCUGACACCCUAGAGAUAGGCUUUCCCUUUCGGGGACA
rnacentral:rRNA from 1 species